rnacentral:rRNA from 1 species
AUUGAACGCUGGCGGCAGGCCUAACACAUGCAAGUCGAACGAGGGGCGGACGGGUGAGAAAUGUCUGGGAACCUGCCUGCUGGAGGGGGAUAACUACUGGAAACGGUAGCUAAUACCGCAUACCAUCGGAUGUGCCCCGAGGGGAUUGGCUAGUAGGGGGGGUAAAGGCCCACCUAGGCGACGAUCCCUAGCUGGUCUGAGAGGAUGACCAGCCACACGGGAACUGAGACACGGUCCAGACUCCGACGGGAGGCAGCAGUGGGGAAUAUUGCACUAUUGGCGCAAGCCUGAUGCAGCCAUGCCGCGUGUAUGAAGAAGGCCUUCGGGUUGUAAAGUACUUUCAGCGGGGAGGCGUUACCCGCAGAAGAAGCACCGGCUAACUCCGUGCCAGCAGCCGCGGUAAUUC